rnacentral:rRNA from 1 species
GACGAACGCNGGCGGCGUGCUUAACACAUGCAAGUCGAACGGAGCGAAUGAAAGCUUGCUUUUAUGCGCUUAGUGGCAAACGGGUGAGUAACACGUAGGCAACCUGCCGACAGGAUGGGGACAACAUUCCGAAAGGAAUGCUAAUACCGAAUGAAGUGCAGGGGAGGCAUCUCCCCUGCGUGAAAGAUGGCCUCUAUAUAUAAGCUAUCACCUGUCGAUGGGCCUGCGUCUGAUUAGCUGGUUGGUGAGGUAACGGCUCACCAAGGCGACGAUCAGUAGCCGGUCUGAGAGGAUGAACGGCCACAUUGGGACUGAGACACGGCCCAGACUCCUACGGGAGGCAGCAGUGGGGAAUCUUCCGCAAUGGGCGCAAGCCUGACGGAGCAACGCCGCGUGAGUGAAGAAGGUCUUCGGAUCGUAAAGCUCUGUUGAUGGGGACGAACGUACGGGGUGCGAAUAGUGCCUNGUAANGAC